AUUGAACGCUGGCGGCAGGCCUAACCCAUGCAAGUCGAACGAGUGGCGGACGGGUUAGUAAUGUAUGGGAAACUGCCUGAUGGAGGGGGAUAACUACUGGCAACGGUAGCUAAUACCGCAUACAAUCAGAUGGUCCCAGAUCGGAUUAGCUAGUUGGUGGGGUAAAGGCUCACCAAGGCGACGAUCCCUAUCUGGUCUGAGAGGAUGACCAGCCACACUGGAACUGGGACACGGUCCAGACUCCUACGGGAGGCAGCAGUGGGGAAUAUUGGACAAUGGGCGCAAGCCUGAUGCAGCCAUGCCGCGUGUAUGAAGAAGGCCUUCGGGUUGUAAAGUACUUUCAGCGGGGAGGCGUUACCCGCAGAAGAAGCACCGGCUAACUCCGUGCCAGCAGCCGCGGUAAUAC
rnacentral:rRNA from 1 species